UGGGGAAUAUUGCACAAUGGGCGCAAGCCUGAUGCAGCCAUGCCGCGUGUGUGAAGAAGGCCUUCGGGUUGUAAAGCACUUUCAGCGGGGAGGAAGGCGUUAAGGUUAAUAACCUUGGCGAUUGACGUUACCCGCAGAAGAAGCACCGGCAAACUCCGUGCCAGCAGCCGCGGUAAUACGGAGGGGGCAAGCGUUAAUCGGAAUUACUGGGCGUAAAGCGCACGCAGGCGGUCUGUCAAGUCGGAUGUGAAAUCCCCGGGCUCAACCUGGGAACUGCAUUCGAAACUGGCAGGCUAGAGUCUGGUAGAGGGGGGUAGAAUUCCAGGUGUGGCGGUGAAAUGCGUAGAGAUCUGGAGGAAUACCGGUGGCGAAGGCGGCCCCCUGGACAAAGACUGACGCUCAGGUGCGAAAGCGUGGGGAGCAAACAGG
rnacentral:rRNA from 1 species